UAUGGUUCUCAGGUGACACACCCCGGAAUUGGGCUCCCUCUUCUCUAGUUCUGGGUGCGUCACCCGAGAAGCUCA
rfam:Myotis lucifugus cont2.14912, whole genome shotgun sequence.